rnacentral:rRNA from 1 species
CACGUAGUUAGCCGUGACUUUCUGGCGGGGCACCAUCAGUCAGCACCCAUUUCCUGAUGCUGCCCUUUUUUCCCCCGCAACAGAGCUUUACGACCCGAAGGCCUUCUUCACUCACGCGGCAUCGCUCGUUCAGGCUUGCGCCCAUUGACGAAAAUUCCCUACUGCUGCCUCCCGCAGGAGUCUGGGCCGUGUCUCAGUCCCAAUGUGGCCGUCCGCCCUCUCAGGCCGGCUAUGCAUCAUCGUCUUGGUGGGCCUUUACCCCGCCAACCAACUAAUGCACCGCAGGUCCAUCCGCGCCCCAUCCCCUAAAGGAUGUUUCACAGAAAGAAGAUGCCUCCUUCCUGUACAUCGGGAUUUGUUCUCCGUUUCAGAGCGUAUUCCCGGUGCGCGGGCAGGUUCCCUACGUGUUACUCACCCGUUCGCCACUAGACGACCCGAAGGUCUCUCGUUCGACUUGCAUGUAUUAGGCAUCGCCGCCAGCGUUCACUCCGUGACGCCGAGGACUCGUAAA